rnacentral:misc_RNA from 1 species
CUUUAACAAACGUUUCAUCAAAUGCUCCGAAAUUAAUUCCCAAAAUAUUUGAGGGCUAGGAUUAAAACGUACCUUUUUUUUGCAUUUUUGAAUCUAAUGGCUAGAAUUGGAAUCUUAAAAUCAAUGGCUAAUAGUAGUCUCUUUUUUUUCUCUCUCCUUUUUUACUAAACAUUAAAUUAAAAUUAAAAUUGAAAGUGAAAGUGAAAUUAAGAAUAAAAUUCAAAAUUAAAAAAGGAGUUGAGGUUAAAAUUAAGAUUUGAUUGAGAAAUUUAAACUUCAAAACUAAAAUGAGAAUUUGAUUAAAUUUGAGUUAAAAUUGAAACUGAAACUACAAGCUAAAUUUCAUCAAACUUAAAUAUGAAAUUAAAGUCAAAAGUUGAAUUAGUAAGGACAUUAAAAUUAAAAUUUUUUUUAGGCCGUAUACACCAUUUCACACCUGAACUUUAUCAAAAAAACCUUGUGACAUCCAGAACUUUAGAACACCCCAUGACACACCUCAACUCCUAUAAAGUGAAAUUAAGAUAUCCUAAAGACCCUAAACUAAAAAGUGUGAACUCCAAUCGCGCUGAUAUAGCAAUCUGCUAACUAGAUUCCAAAAGGUAUCUUAAUUCUACUUUAACAGGAAUUAAGGUAUGUCACGGUACAUUUACAGGAGUUGAGGUGUUUCAUGAUACGUUUACAGGACUUAAGGCGUGUCACGGAACGUUUUAAAAGUUUAGUGCCAUGAAGUUUUUUUUUAGUAAAGUUCAAGGGUGAACUUAUGUAUUCAGCCAUUUUUUAAUCUCUUAUAACUUUUUUAUUUAUUUCAUUUUUUUUUCCUUUUUUUUAAUUUUUUUGGAUUUUUUAAAAAGGGACCAGACAAAAUAUGAAGUCUACAAUAAUAAUCCUUUUCAUGUACAUUUUAGCAUGUUUUCUUUUAAGUUAAAACUCUAAUUUGACCAAUGACAAGUUUACUUUUGAAGGAUUUGCAUGAAGAAGCCUAGACCACUUUUGGCAACGUUGAGUUUGUAAGGAACUUUCUAGCAUGAAACAUCAUCUGGUAACAUAAAUUUUCUAAAUGAAAUGGUUUUAUCCUGGCAAGGGAUGGACAUGGGUAAAUAACAAGAGUGUUUACAAACCUCUCAUUAUCAACAACUAAAACAUUAGUCACAUGUAUGUAAGAACUUAAAUACCAAUUAUUUUAAAUGGGAUUCAUAUCAAACGUAUGCUCUAAGAUCCAAAUUAGCAAUCUUCAGUCAGUAUAAAUUUUCCUUACCUCAAGUGAUUCCAAACUAUAACCAAAGACUUACAAAAUAUGCAACAGAUUAAGAAAAUGAGGAUUAAAUGAAAGUGAGAGAACAAGCAAUCUGAUUGCUAUCUAAGGAAAAGAAGAGGAUUACAAAACCCAGAAACAUUUUCAAAACACAUUUAAAAGUCUAACAAGAGAGAGUUCUAUUUUGCAUUGUUUUCUAA